UUUUUUAUAAAAUAAAAACGCUAUGAAAGAUGUUCUGUCAAUAAAAACCGAAAUUGCCAACGUUGCACGUUUAUCUUUUGUGUGAAAAGGCAGCCAAAGGGCAACAGCCACACGGGGACGGCAUUCAAGCAAAUGCUUGCCACAUACAGCAACAAUGUGUGCGAUUUGUGGCUUUGUGUGUGCCACCGGAAAGGAAGGUGAAACCGAAUAAAAUCCAACCGCAAAAUUGUGGAAGAAUCUCUCUUUAAGGAAUAUAUUGAUUGCGCUCGUCGCAGUUCGAGGAGUGUGGGAGAGGCAGAAAUGGAUGGGCGUGCCAUAAAUCUGAAGACAGGCGGCGACGAAAAAGAGCAACGAAAGGGUUGUGCCAACGUCACACGCACACAUAUGCAUUGCCAUAACUCCAAGUGUAAGUGUGUGUGUGUGUGAAAAGUCAGCGAGUAUUAGAGCGAGGCAUAGUGCAUGUGUGUGCGAGGUACAAAAGACACAUUUUGUGGUCAAUGAAGGAAAUAUGAUUUGGAUUUCGCCAGCCAUUGAUUACAUUAGCAGUACGGCACAUACACACACACACACACACAGUGAUCAAUGUUUAAGUAUUAGUGUACAUACCCGCAACCACCUUCGAGUAUGUGGGGCAGUUUGGCAUAACAGCACAAAGCAUUGAUGGCCUGGCACAGAGGAAAUUGAGUUUUCGUGCCACAAAGCGAAGAAAAGCUUUGCUUGAAAUAAAAACCGUAAUAACCACACAACAACAACAGCUUCUUCAUUGGUAAAUCUUCAAGGCGUACGGAUAAACACGUUCGCAAACUUUCCAUAGUUUCUCUUCCAAUUUCCGAACCAAAUGCGCACAGCUUUGUUCAGAGAUAAAGGGGGUAUCCUUCGGAUUCGCACAUCGCAGCUAAUUAACGAUAAUUUAUUAAAUCAGUAAGCAAGAGAAUGUUGCAGCGCGUCUUUAUCUGCACUACAGCGCUAGGCGAGGAUGACAAAGCCAAAAGAAACAGCGGAAGAUGCCAGCAGUGGUGAAAGCUCACAGCCCAGGCGAAAGCAGUGAGAUCGCUACUUAGUAAUUAACUGCGCCCUUCAAACUGCUCACUUACAAGUGCAACAACAAAUGAAGAAAGCAGCAAAAGAAAGCAAUCUAUAUAGCAAAAUCACUAGGAACUUGCUGCUGUAAGUGUGGAGAGCAAGACGUAAAAAUAAACAACUCAGAAAAAUAUUGGAGAACGGAAGUGAAGAGUAAGAGCAAGAAAUGGACAGCAAAUAGAGUGGAAAACCUAAUUAGCAACAGUGGCAGGUUCCGGUGCAGAGUGACCAAGCGCAACAACAUCUGACUUGAAGCAGUUUUUGCAAUGGAAGAAGAGUUGAAUGAUAAAAUGGCGGUAAAUAUAAUUGGUGAAAACAAUUAAAAUUAUAAGUUGUAAUGGAAAAUGUCUGCUGAGCUCAUUUUUUUCUCUUCGUUGUGUUCAAGCUUGUGUUUUCAAAAUAUGCAAAAAGCUAAAUUUAAAAGAAAAUGCUGAAUAAAAACGUACAAAUCUUAAACUG